GAUGAACGCUGGCGGCGUGCCUAAUACAUGCAAGUCGAGCGAACAGACGAGGAGCUUGCUCCUCUGACGUUAGCGGCGGACGGGUGAGUAACACGUGGAUAACCUACCUAUAAGACUGGGAUAACUUCGGGAAACCGGAGCUAAUACCGGAUAAUAUAUUGAACCGCAUGGUUCAAUAGUGAAAGACGGUUUUGCUGUCACUUAUAGAUGGAUCCGCGCCGCAUUAGCUAGUUGGUAAGGUAACGGCUUACCAAGGCAACGAUGCGUAGCCGACCUGAGAGGGUGAUAGGCCACACUGGAACUGAGACACGGUCCAGACUCCUACGGGAGGCAGCAGUAGGGAAUCUUCCGCAAUGGGCGAAAGCUUGACGGAGCAACGCCGCGUGAGUGAUGAAGGUCUUCGGAUCGUAAAACUCUGUUAUUAGGGAAGAACAAAUGUGUAAGUAACUAUGCACGUAUUGACGGUACCUAAUCAGAAAGCCACGGCUAACUACGUG
rnacentral:rRNA from 1 species